rnacentral:rRNA from 1 species
GGUUAAGCGACUAAGCGUACACGGUGGAUGCCCUGGCAGUCAGAGGCGAUGAAGGACGUGCUAAUCUGCGAUAAGCGUCGGUAAGGUGAUAUGAACCGUUAUAACCGGCGAUUUCCGAAUGGGGAAACCCAGUGCAAUUCGUUGCACUAUCGUUAAGUGAAUACAUAGCUUAACGAAGCGAACCGGGGGAACUGAAACAUCUAAGUACCCCGAGGAAAAGAAAUCAACCGAGAUUCCCCCAGUAGCGGCGAGCGAACGGGGAGCAGCCCAGAGUCUGAAUCAGCAUGUGUGUUAGUGGAAGCGUCUGGAAAGUCGCACGAUACAGGGUGAAAGUCCCGUACACCAAAAUGCACAUGUUGUGAACUCGAAGAGUAGGGCGGGACACGUGGUAUCCUGUCUGAAUAUGGGGGGACCAUCCUCCAAGGCUAAAUACUCCUGACUGACCGAUAGUGAACCAGUACCGUGAGGGAAAGGCGAAAAGAACCCCGGCGAGGGGAGUGAAAAAGAACCUGAAACCGUGUACGUACAAGCAGUGGGAGCCUCUUUAUGGGGUGACUGCGUACCUUUUGUAUAAUGGGUCAGCGACUUAUAUUCUGUAGCAAGGUUAACCGAAUAGGGGAGCCGAAGGGAAACCGAGUCUUAACUGGGCGUUAAGUUGCAGGGUAUAGACCCGAAACCCGGUGAUCUAGCCAUGGGCAGGUUGAAGGUUGGGUAACACUAACUGGAGGACCGAACCGACUAAUGUUGAAAAAUUAGCGGAUGACCUGUGGCUGGGGGUGAAAGGCCAAUCAAACCGGGAGAUAGCUGGUUCUCCCCGAAAGCUAUUUAGGUAGCGCCUCGUGAAUUCAUCUUCGGGGGUAGAGCACUGUUUCGGCUAGGGGGUCAUCCCGACUUACCAACCCGAUGCAAACUACGAAUACCGAAGAAUGUUAUCACGGGAGACACACGGCGGGUGCUAACGUCCGUCGUGAAGAGGGAAACAACCCAGACCGCCAGCUAAGGUCCCAAAGUCACAGUUAAGUGGGAAACGAUGUGGGAAGGCUCAGACAGCCAGGAUGUUGGCUUAGAAGCAGCCAUCAUUUAAAGAAAGCGUAAUAGCUCACUGGUCGAGUCGGCCUGCGCGGAAGAUGUAACGGGGCUAAACUGUGCACCGAAGCUGCGGCAGCGACACUAUGUGUUGUUGGGUAGGGGAGCGUUCUGUAAGCCGUUGAAGGUGUGUCGUGAGGCAUGCUGGAGGUAUCAGAAGUGCGAAUGCUGACAUAAGUAACGAUAAAGCGGGUGAAAAACCCGCUCGCCGGAAGACCAAGGGUUCCUGUCCAACGUUAAUCGGGGCAGGGUGAGUCGACCCCUAAGGCGAGGCCGAAAGGCGUAGUCGAUGGGAAACAGGUUAAUAUUCCUGUACUUGGUGUUACUGCGAAGGGGGGACGGAGAAGGCUAUGUUGGCCGGGCGACGGUUGUCCCGGUUUAAGCGUGUAGGUUUGCAGACCAGGUAAAUCCGGUCUGCUUCAAGACUGAGACGUGAUGACGAGGCACUACGGUGCUGAAGUAACAAAUGCCCUGCUUCCAGGAAAAGCCUCUAAGCAUCAGGUAACAC